GAUGAACGCUAGCGGCAGGCUUAACACAUGCAAGUCGAGGGGUAUAGGAAGCUUGCUUCCUAGAGACCGGCGCACGGGUGCGUAACGCGUAUGCAACCUACCUUUUACAGGGGGAUAGCCCAGAGAAAUUUGGAUUAAUACCUCAUAGUAUAUGUUUUUCGCAUGUUAGACAUAUUAAAGUAACAACGGUAAAAGAUGGGCAUGCGUCCUAUUAGCUAGAUGGUAAGGUAACGGCUUACCAUGGCAACGAUAGGUAGGGGUCCUGAGAGGGAGACCCCCCACACUGGGACUGGGACACGGACCAGACUCCGACGGGAGGCAGCAGUGAGGAAUAUUGGACAAUGGGCGCAAGCCUGAUCCAGCCAUGCCGCGUGCAGGAAGAAGCAUCUAUGGUGUGUAAACUGCUUUUGUACGGGAAGAAACAUUCCCUCGUGAGGGAGCUUGACGGUACCGUAAGAAUAAGGAUCGGCUAACUCCGUGCCAGCCGCCGCGGUAACAC
rnacentral:rRNA from 1 species